rnacentral:rRNA from 1 species
GAUGAACGCUGGCGGCGUGCCUAAUACAUGCAAGUCGAGCGAACAGAUGAGGAGCUUGCUCCUCUGACGUUAGCGGCGGACGGGUGAGUAACACGUGGAUAACCUACCUAUAAGACUGGGAUAACUUAGGGAAACCGGAGCUAAUACCGGAUAAUAUAUUGAACCGCAUGGUUCAAUAGUGAAAGACGGUUUUGCUGUCACUUAUAGAUGGAUCCGCGCCGCAUUAGCUAGUUGGUAAGGUAACGGCUUACCAAGGCAACGAUGCGUAGCCGACCUGAGAGGGUGAUCGGCCACACUGGAACUGAGACACGGUCCAGACUCCUACGGGAGGCAGCAGUAGGGAAUCUUCCGCAAUGGGCGAAAGCCUGACGGAGCAACGCCGCGUGAGUGAUGAAGGUCUUCGGAUCGUAAAACUCUGUUAUUAGGGAAGAACAACUGUGUAAGUAACUAUGCACGUCUUGACGGUACCUAAUCAGAAAGCCACGGCUAACUACGUG